AGUGAACGCUGGCGGCGUGCUUAACACAUGCAAGUCGAACGAGAACGGAUUAUAGCUUGCUAUAAUUGUCAGCUAAGUGGCGCACGGGUGAGUAAUGUAUAGGUAAUAUGCCUCUUACUAAGGGAUAACAAAUGGAAACGUUUGCUAAUACCUUAUACUCCUUAUUAACAGAAGUUAAUAAGGGAAAGAUUAUUGGUAAGAGAUUAGCCUGUAUUGUAUCAGUUAGUUGGUGGGGUAAUGGCUUACCAAAACUAUGACACAUAACUGGUUUGAGAGGAUGAUCAGUCACACUGGAACUGAGACACGGUCCAGACUCCUACGGGAGGCAGCAGUGGGGAAUAUUGCACAAUGGACGGAAGUCUGAUGCAGCAACGCCGCGUGGAGGAUGACACAUUUCGGUGCGUAAACUCCUUUUAUAUGAGAAGAUAAUGACGGUAUUAUAUGAAUAAGCACCGGCUAACUCCGUGCCAGCAGCCGCCGUAA
rnacentral:rRNA from 1 species